rnacentral:lncRNA from 1 species
GCUUUGUAGAGAUGCAACAAAUAACAAAGGACCAACUUAUUAUUACUAGAUGUAAUUAUGUAUAGAUGUCCUAUUCAUUUUACUUUUCAGUUUCAUUUUUUCGUUUCUUUUUGGUUCCGACAACGAAAAGAGAAAGAAGGGUGUAGUAGCUAUAGCCUAUAGGUGGAUUCGCCUCAGGUUAGGGGGGGACAUCGAUGCUGAUACAGCCUAUAGCCUAUAGGUGGAUUCGCCUCAGGUUAGGGGGGGACAUCGGUGCUGAUACAUUUCAUGAGAAGAUGUGCUCUCUUAUGGUGUUUUAGGCCUGCUACAGAAGAAUAGGAUAUAGUUUCUCACACAAAGUCAUUUUUGUUGUGGAAGCAGGUUACUCUACUGCUCCUGCUGUAUUAAUAACGAUAUAAAAGACGUAUAGCAAUUCACAUUUUAUUCCAGGUCUUGAAUUACGGA